GCCAGAAACGAAACUUGAAGAGAGAGAAAGGCCCCCUUUAGUAAGAGAGUCUGCUAAAGAAUCAGCUUCACGAAAGACGUGGACAAAAGAGAUGUCAAGAGACCUAAAUUGAAGACGAUAGGUAAGUUCCUCUUAACAUCAACUUCCAAGAUUUCGGACCCCUCCUUAGUAAUGAGGCAACAGCGCCAAAGGUCAUGAAGGAUGAUGUUCA
rnacentral:lncRNA from 1 species